rnacentral:tRNA from 1 species
GUUAGUGUAGCGUAAAGUUAAGCGUAUUUGGUUUGGGUCCAAAAGGUUAAAGGUUAGAUUCCUUUUACUCA